AGGACGAACGCUGGCGGCGUGCUUAACACAUGCAAGUCGAGCGGAAAGGCCUUUCGGGGUACUCGAGCGGCGAACGGGUGAGUAACACGUGAGUAAUCUGCCCAUCGCUUCAGGAUAGCCAUCGGAAACGGUGAUUAAUACUGGAUAUGACAUUCCUUCGCAUGUUGGGGUGUGGAAAGUUUUUUCGGCGGUAGAUGUGCUCGCGGCCUAUCAGCUUGUUGGUGGGGUAAUGGCCUACCAAGGCUUUGACGGGUAGCCGGCCUGAGAGGGUGACCGGCCACACUGGGACUGAGACACGGCCCAGGACUCCUACGGGAGCAGCAGUGGGGAAU
rnacentral:rRNA from 1 species